rnacentral:rRNA from 1 species
GGGGGGGGCGGGGGGUAGGCCUGACACAUGCGGGUCGAACGGGAGCACAGUAAGAGCUUGCUCUUACGGGUGGCGCGUGGGGGACGGGUGCGGACUACAUCGGCAUCUACUUUUUCGUGGGGGCUACCGUAGGGAAACUUACGCUCAUACCGCCUCCGCCCUCCGGGUGAAAGCCGGGGAUCUUCGGACCUUUCGCGAUGGUAUGAGCCGAUGUCGGAUUAGCUCGUUGGCGGGGUACAGGCCCACCAAUGCGACGAUCCGUAGCUGGUAUGAGAGGAUGAUCAGCCAGACUGGAACUGAGACACGGUCCAGACUCCGACGGGAGGCAGCAGUGGGGAAUAUUGGACAAUGGGCGCAAGCCUGAUCCAGCCAUACCGCGUGGGUGAAGAAGGCCUUCGGGUUGUAAAGCCCUUUUGUUGGGAAAGAAAAGCAGCAGGUUAAUACCCCGCUGUUCUGACGGUACCCAAAGAAUAAGCACCGGCUAACUUCGUG